rnacentral:misc_RNA from 1 species
GUCGUAACAAGGUUUCCGUAGGUGAACCUGCGGAAGGAUCAUUACCACACCAAAAAAAACACCCCACGUGAAUUUGUAAAGUAUUUGUUUUGUGUCUGGAAACAGACUAAACGAAGGUGAUUAGUGAAAACUAUGAACCGAUGUACUUUUAAACCCCUUUUAUUUUAAAUCUGAUAUUUUAAAAUUGCAAUAAUGAAAAUUGUUGCUCUUAAUUAAAAUACAACUUUCAACAGUGGAUGUCUAGGCUC